UACGUAGGGGCGAGCGUUGUCCGGAAUUACUGGGCGUAAAGCGCGCGUAGGCGGCUUUACAAGUCGCUUGUGAAAGCCCCGGGCUCAACCUGGGGAUUGCAGGCGAAACUGUAGGGCUUGAGUGCGGUAGAGGAAAGUGGAAUUCCUAGUGUAGCGGUGAAAUGCGCAGAUAUUAGGAGGAACACCAGUGGCGAAGGCGACUUUCUGGGCCGUAACUGACGCUGAGGCGCGAAAGCGUGGGGAGCAAACAGGAUUAGAUACCCUGGUAGUCCCUGA
rnacentral:rRNA from 1 species